rnacentral:rRNA from 1 species
GACGUAGGAUGCAAGCGUUGUCCGGAUUUAUUGGGCGUAAAGAGCGUGUAGGCGGCCAGGUAGGUCUGCUGUGAAAACUCGAGGCUCAACCUCGAGACGUCGGCGGAAACCAUCUGGCUAGAGUCCGGAAGAGGAGAGUGGAAUUCCUGGUGUAGCGGUGAAAUGCGCAGAUAUCAGGAAGAACACCCGUGGCGAAGGCGGCUCUCUGGGACGGUACUGACGCUGAGACGCGAAAGCGUGGGGAGCGAACAGG